UACGUAGGGACCAAGCGUUGUUCGGAUUUACUGGGCGUAAAGGGCGCGUAGGCGGCCAUUCAAGUCACUUGUGAAAUCUCUGAGCUUAACUCAGAACGGUCAAGUGAUACUGCUUUGCUAGAGUGCAGAAGGGGCAACCGGAAUUCUUGGUGUAGCGGUGAAAUGCGUAGAUAUCAAGAGGAACACCGGAGGUGAAGACGGGUUGCUGGGCUGACACUGACGCUGAGGCGCGACAGCGUGGGGAGCAAACAGG
rnacentral:rRNA from 1 species